rnacentral:sRNA from 1 species
CCCAACCGCAAGGGGGGGGAUGCCUAAGGUAGGACUGAUGACUGGGGUGAAGUCGUAACAAGGUAGCCGUACCGGAAGGUGUGGCUGGAUCACCUCCUUUUAGGGAGACCUAAUCCAUUUAGAAAUUUCCAGCAAUUUUCAUUGCUAGAAACUAAAUUGGUCUAACCUAGGUCGGUCGAGAUUGGUAGAUAUCUUUCAAAGUAUUAUUCGGCUUAGUUCAAAACUUGAAGCAUCAUAAAUGGAAAAAAGACAGCACCUAACUAUAAAAGUUAGACUGCUGGGUGAGAUUCCAGCCAGAACCUUGAAAACUGCAUAAGAGAACGAGAAAAAGCAGGCAGACACAGACAUGAGAGUGUUUCGUGAAAGCAAAGAAAAAUUGUGGUCAAGCUAAUAAGGGCUAAUGGUG